AACGAACGCUGGCGGCAGGCCUAACACAUGCAAGUCGAACGCCCUGCAAGGGGAGUGGCAGACGGGUGAGUAACGCGUGGGAACCUACCUAGAGGUGCGGAAUAGCCCAGGGAAACUUGGAGUAAUACCGCAUAAGCCCGCAAGGGGAAAGAUUUAUCGCCUUUAGAUGGGCCCGCGUCUGAUUAGCUAGUUGGUGAGGUAAUGGCUCACCAAGGCGACGAUCAGUAGCUGGUUUGAGAGAAUGACCAGCCACACUGGGACUGAGACACGGCCCAGACUCCUACGGGAGGCAGCAGUGGGGAAUCUUGGACAAUGGGGGCAACCCUGAUCCAGCCAUGCCGCGUGAGUGACGAAGGCCUUAGGGUUGUAAAGCUCUUUUGGCGGGACGAUAAUGACGGUACCCGCAGAAUAAGUCCCGGCUAACUUCGUG
rnacentral:rRNA from 1 species